rnacentral:rRNA from 1 species
GACGAACGCUGGCGGCGUGCUUAACACAUGCAAGUCGAACGGAAAGGCCCUGCUUUUUUGGUGUGCUCGAGUGGCGAACGGGGGAGUAACACGUGAGUAACCUGCCCUUGACUUUGGGAUAACUUCAGGAAACUGGGGCUAAUACCGGAUAGGAGCUCCUGUUGCAUGGUGGGGGUUGGAAAGUUUAGGCGGUUGGGGUUGGACGCGCGGCUUACCAGCUUGUUGGUUGGGGAGUGGCUUACCAAGCCUUUGACGGGUACCCGGCCUGUGAGGGUGACCGGCCACAAUGGGACUGAGAUACGGCCCAGACUCCUACGGGAGGCAGCAGUGGGGAAUAUUGCACAAUGGGCGGAAGCCUGAUGCAGCAACGCCGCGUGCGGGAUGACGGCCUUCGGGUUGUAAACCGCUUUCGCCUGUGACGAAGCGUGAGUGACGGUAAUGGGUAAAGAAGCACCGGCUAACUACGUG